rnacentral:rRNA from 1 species
GACGAACGCUGGCGGCGUGCUUAACACAUGCAAGUCGAACGGAAAGGCCCUGCUUUUGUGGGGUGCUCGAGUGGCGAACGGGUGAGUAACACGUGAGUAACCUGCCCUUGACUUUGGGAUAACUUCAGGAAACUGGGCCAAAUACGGGAAAGAGCCUCCUCUGGAAGGUGGGGGGUGGAAAAUUUCGGCGGUUGGGGAAUGACUCGCGGCUUAUCAGCUUGUUGGUGGGGGAGUGGCUUACCAAGGCUUUGACGGGUAGCCGGCCUGAGAGGGUGACCGGCCACAUUGGGACUGAGAUACGGCCCAGACUCCUACGGGAGGCAGCAGUGGGGAAUAUUGCACAAUGGGCGGAAGCCUGAUGCAGCAACGCCGCGUGCGGGAUGACGGCCUUCGGGUUGUAAACCGCUUUCGCCUGUGACGAAGCGUGAGUGACGGUAAUGGGUAAAGAAGCACCGGCUAACUACGUG